rnacentral:lncRNA from 1 species
CUUUGAUUGUUCAUUAGGAUUGUACUUGUAGGAUUUAUGUAAUAUGAUGAACUUGUAAGAAAAUGUUGUGAAAUGUAAUUUGGAACAUGACUUUGUAAUUUAUGGAAAUGUUGUAAUGCUUGUGUAAUGUCAUGGUUUUGUGAUUUAUGCGCUUUGAGCGCAAAUGUAUUUUGGAAUUGGAAUGAAAUUGGCAAAUGCAAUGGUUAUCUAGUGU